rnacentral:rRNA from 1 species
UUAAUUGAAGAGUUUGAUCAUGGCUCAGAUUGAACGCUGGCGGCAGGCCUAACACAUGCAAGUCGAGCGGCAGCACAGAGGAACUUGUUCCUUGGGUGGCGAGCGGCGGACGGGUGAGUAAUGCCUGGGAAAUUGCCCGGUAGAGGGGGGAUAACCAUUGGAAACGAUGGCUAAUAC